UUGAACGCUGGCGGAAUGCUUUACACAUGCAAGUCGAGCGGCAGCACGGGGGCAACCCUGGCGGCGAGUGGCGAACGGGUGAGUAACGUAUCGGAACGUACCCAGUCGUGGGGGAUAACUAACCGAAAGGAUAGCUAAUACCGCAUACGUCCUGAGGGAGAAAGCGGGGGAUCGCAAGACCUCGCGCGAUUGGAGCGGCCGAUAUCGGAUUAGCUAGUUGGUGAGGUAAAGGCUCACCAAGGCGACGAUCCGUAGCGGGUCUGAGAGGACGACCCGCCACACUGGAACUGAGACACGGUCCAGACUCCUACGGGAGGCAGCAGUGGGGAAUUUUGGACAAUGGGGGCAACCCUGAUCCAGCCAUUCCGCGUGAGUGAAGAAGGCCUUCGGGUUGUAAAGCUCUUUCGGCCGGGACGAAACCGUACGUGUCAAUAC
rnacentral:rRNA from 1 species